rnacentral:rRNA from 1 species
CUGGGCUUGAACGUAUGGUGCAUUAUGGAGAAAUUCAUAUUUCUAGCAAUAGACUUCAUACGAGGUGCUGCAUGGCUGUCGUCAGCUCGUGCCGUGAGGUGUUAGGUUAAGUCCUGCAACGAGCGCAACCCUUGUCUUUAGUUGCCAGCAUGUAAUGAUGGGGACUCUAGAGAGACUGCCUGCGCAAGCAGAGAGGAAGGUGGGGAUGACGUCAAGUCAGCACGGCCCUUACGCCCAGGGCUACACACGUGCUACAAUGGCCGGUACAGAGGGCAGCGACCUGGUGACAGGUAGCCAAUCUUCAAAGCCGGUCUCAGUUCGGAUCGGAGUCUGCAACUCGACUCCGUGAAGUUGGAUUCGCUAGUAAUCGCGCAUCAGCCAUGGCGCGGUGAAUACGUUCCC